CCUCACCUGGGUGUCUCUCUUCCAGGAGGCACAGGCUUACGCAGAUGACAACAGCUUAUUGUUCAUGGAGACGUCGGCCAAGACAGCGAUGAAUGUGAACGACCUCUUCCUGGCCAUCGCCAAGAAGCUGCCAAAGAGCGAGCCCCAGAGCACGAGCGGCGCGGCGGGGAGGAGCAGAGGCGUGGACCUUCACGAGCAAACCCAGCAGAACAAGAGCCAGUGUUGUAGCAACUGAAGGGCGGCCUUCGGCAGCGGCCCGCGAGCGAGGAAGAGCUAAGAUAUAACCUCCACCCCCCCCCCCUCCCCUCACCACACCUCACCUCCAUAACGGCACACCGAGAAAACCCACCCGAACCGGAACCCUCCCGAGAGCUCUUAACUGCACUUUUUAAUGCUUCGAAACCACCACCAGACACCCGUUAUUACCACCACCCUGAUGGCAGUGGAACUAGAUCCGCCGGGGACUUAACUACUUCAGAGGAAGAGAAAGAGAGAGAGAGAGAGAGGAAAGAGGGGAAAAGGAAAAAAAAAAAAAAAGAAAAAAGAAAAAAAAAAAAACCAACAAACUCUUCUUCACUUUGUAUGAUAGGUGCAAAAUAGCGAGCUACUCGCAGCUCCUCCCUCCACCUUUCUCCCUCUCCCACCUCCCUCUUUGCUGUGUGGGCUCAGCCCUGCUCCCGUCUCCCCUCCUGGUGGCGCUGGGGAUGGCGGAGCCGAGGAGGUGGCAGCGCAUCCAGGGCUUGGCUUUGUGACAAAACGAGUUGGCACCGGAGACUGCUGGAAAACAUGGGGUCUGACACGGAUUUAUUUUUUGAUUUUUUUUUUUUCCCCUUUUUCUUUUUUUUUUUUUUUCUUUAUUUUUUCCCCUUUUCUAUGCCUGUCCGGGGUGGGGGAAAGCUGCAGCGUCCUUAACUUUCUUCCUUGGUGGCCUUUUUUGCUGAAGAAGUGGAAGUGCCUGGGACCCUUUUGCAAGGGGAGGGGGGGGGCACAGAGCGGAUGGGAUGACCCCAGCUGCUGCCUGUGCCCCCCAGCCCGGGCAGAGCCCUGGCUCUGUGCUGUGAUCCCGGGGCACGGCAGAGCCCUGCUCUCACUUUGUCCCCGUUCCUCUUUGGCACUCGAAGGGGGGAAGCACCCGGUUUUCCCUUCGGGUCCUGUUUGCUCUGGAGGUUGGGAGCAGCAGGGGGAGGCGAAGGCGUUUGUUCCUUUCUGCUCUUCCCGGAUGGAGCUCGGUUCCCUUGGGCUGCUGCCAGGGGCCGUGCCCAGGGCAGCACUGCAGCCCGGAGGCCAUUGCCCUCCCCCCACACCCAGCGGGGGCCGGGCUCCCCGGGACCCCUCUUACAGGGGGGGGGGAGCCCCCAACCCUGGCUGCGGCCAGGUCCUGCAUGCAUCCCAUGGGUUGGGAGGGGGUUGCAGGGAGGGGGGGGGGGUCCCGCAUGACGCCCCACAGUGGGGGCUGAGCGGGUCGGGGCCGAUGCCCAAACCCUGGCUCUACUUUGCCCCUCUGCGUGGCCCGAGGGCGGCCCCCCCCCCCCGCCCCGGGGAGCGAGCGUGGACACUGCAGCUUUCCCGACCCUUCUCCUUCCUUCUCCCGUUUCCUUCUGUCCCUGCUCCGCUGUUCGUUUUUUUUUUUUUGGUUGUUUGGGUUUUUUUUUGUUUGUUUUCUGUUUUUUUUUUGUUUGUUUGUUUUGCUUUGAGGAAGCUCCUCCAUCGCAUUGAAAUAACGAUCAUGGUAACAGAACUCAGCUGCUGAUUUACCGAUGUAUUUAAUGUAAGUAAAAACAAAACGAACGGAGAGGAAAAAAA